GGCUUAAAACGCCUAAAAGAAAUUAAAUACAAACUAAAGUGGGAUAAAGAAGUUCCUUGUUCAUCAUCAACUAACAAACUAAGAACCUCUCUAGAAAGGAUAUCCUAAAAGUGAAAUCCUGGAUCUAAUUUAAACUUUUAUGCACAAGACAAUCAGCACAUCUAUUGUCUUUCCUCCAAUUUUUUCUUUUCCAGUUACUAAUGCUUCUGAUUAAAGCAUUUGGGUGUUUCUGGAAAUCGCAUUCCACAAUUAAUUUCUUAUUCCCAUAGUCCAAGGUAGCAUAAGUCCCUUCUUAAUCCCCCAAAGCUCUGCUCUAUAUGCCAUGCCCAUGCACUCCCCAAUAAAAUGAAUGGAAGAAGGCUGCAAUCCAUCUUCCAUUUGGGUUUCUGAGUAGUCCCCUACACCCCGCCUUGUUGGUGCUUCCAUCAACGGAUCUGUCUUUGGGGAAGGAUGGAUCCAUUUAAUGUUGAUUUGAGAAUUUCGGUGUGUGCAUGUGGCGGUCUCUGGUACCCUUGCUCGUGUAUCUCCUUGUUUCACCAAGCCCAAGCCUUCCAGCAAGUAAAGAUGAAGACGUCCAUCCAUUUCAGGUUCAGUGGGUGAGAUUCAACACUAUCCAUUCCUCCAAAUUGCUUCCAAAGAAGAUUUGAUUAAUCUCACCCAAACUCUGGAAAUCGUUGGGCAAUUUCUCAUUGCAUGCAUUAUGUCCUCUUGGCUCUCGUCGCAGAUUUGACAAGCCCCUGAACCUCCCAUUAUAUGAAAAAUUCUUUUGUGCAUAAUUUUCCAAAGGUGGAUUUUAGCCUUUUGUGGCCCUUUCCAGCUCCAUUGCUUCGUAGGUGUCGCUUAUGGAGAAAUCUCCAUCUCUAAUAUGUCUUCUCCCAAAUGAGCUGAAGGCGAUGGAGUGACCAUGAUCUCGAGCACAACAUCUUCAGGGGUCCAGCCAUUUCCAAUGUGGCGGGUAGUGUUUUCUUUGAACAUGGGCCACAAAUUGACAAGCUCCUUCCAAAGAGGUGAGUCAUUUAUUUCCGUUACGUAUUUGUUAAUGAACACUUGUGCCCAGAGGGUGUUGGAGUCCUCUUUUAAGUUGUCAAGAUGCUGUUUAUGAUCUCAUUGAUUCUAAUACCAGCCAUGUCACCGAAUUGUCCCAAGAUGCUGUUUAUCAUCUCAAUUUGGUCAGUUGUAGCCUCCAAGAAAAUAAGUAAGUUGGGAGAUUUUUGGCCCAUUUUUUCCAACUCUAAAUGCCUUCCAUCUUUCUCUUUCAGCUUCUUUUUCUAUAAGCUGUGAAGAUAAGGUAAAAUCGAGUCUCCUUGUCUGAUUUCUCUUGUAGGGUUGAAUAUUUUUAUUUUGCCACCGUUCCAAAGUACGUUGUAGCUGACCAUGCUAACUCCUUGCAGGAUUAUGUUGACUAAUUUUUCUGGCAAGUUAAAUUCUUUGUCUUCUAUGGAUAAAAUCUCAUCUAAUCUUCUCAUAGCUUAUUAUUGUAAGAAUUUUUUUUUUGGUUGCCCACAAUUUUCCAACUCGACAGGCCAAUGACUAAUCCGUCGUAGAUCUGAACUCCAUUUGAAGGUCUGUCGCUGGCCAAUGAAUUGCUGCAUUUACAAGGCGGGAUUCGAACCUCCGACACUUGUUUAAACAUACGAGUGAGAUGAAUACUCGACCAACCUAAGUUGGUUUUUAUUUUUUUAUGUUUUUUUUGGGUCAAGACCCAAGUUGGUUUAUUAUUGUGAGAAUCUUAUUAAACAGGAUUUACGCUGACUAUAGAAUAAAUAAGCCUAUUCAUUGGUGCAUUUGGGCCUC